rnacentral:tRNA from 1 species
AUUACUUUGGCAGAAAAGUGUAGUAAAUUUAGAAUUUAUAAAUAAAUUAAAUAAUUUAAGUAAUA